AUAUCAAUGAGCGGAGGAAAAGAAACCAACAGGGAUUGCCCUAGUAACGGCGAGUGAAGCGGCAACAGCUCAAAUUUGAAAUCUGGCCCCUGGGUCCGAGUUGUAAUUUGUAGAGGAUGCUUUUGGUGCGGUACCUUCCGAGUUCCCUGGAACGGGACGCCAUAGAGGGUGAGAGCCCCGUCUGGUCGGAUACCAAUCCUCUGUAAAGCCUCCGUCG
rnacentral:rRNA from 1 species